UAUAAGAAAAGAAAUAGUUGAAAUGUUGAUAUUAUUUGUCUUAUAUACUGUCAACAUUAGAAGAGUGAAAUACUAUAAAUUUUACAUCAAUGUCCAAAUAUGGUCUCUAAUAAAUAUGUUGAUAUUAAGAUGACAUUUAUUAAGAAUAUUAUAGACUUAGCUAUUGAGUUAUUUACAUAUAUAUGUAAUCUCUCAUUUAUUAAAGGGGUUUUCCCAAGACGUUAUUAAAAUUGUUAAAAUAAUACCACUUUACAAAGGUGUCAGGUUCUUGGAUUUUUGUGUCAGUGUGAGUGCUCUUUCCUCUGACAGGAUCUUUGUGUAAACCAUGCAGACUGGCACACCUGCUGCUGGUUCUGACAAUCAGCAGGCAGAAGUAAUAAGAAGCUGUGGAGCAGUUGCUCGCUUCAUGGUCCCACAUAGUUAAAGUCAAGCCUUUGUCAUGUUUAUGUCCAAGGUGAACGAUAUAGGAGUUUUUUCAUGGUUGCACUUUCCUAUGCUUACCUCUCUUUGCUGGACAGACUUAUGAUGUUUUUGGAAUCGUGUCUUUGGCUCAUCCUCUCCAUAGAUCUGGCUUCAAGCAAAGCUCGAGACCUCACAGCCUGCCUGCUCUGCCUGGCUGUUUCCACCUUUCCUCCCCUGACUCACCAGGCACCAAGCUCCCCCUUCUGGUUCACCGUGGACAAAAAUCUGAGUUUUUCCGCCACCUCCUGAAUUCCACAAACACCUUCAAUCUCUUUUGUAAAUAAAUCACAACAAACUGUGUGUCAUGUCUGCAUGUGGGUCAAGACAUUACUUCAAAACAAGGGGAAAAAGUGGAAAUAAACAUGAAUACUGUAAUUCUAUGAAAAACCUCACUGCUUCCAUAGUUUUCAAACAUUCUAUAGACAUUGUAGUAUCUGUAAAACACAUAAAUUCCAUGUUUAUUUGUUGUUUGUUUUAGUUUGUUUGAUUUUGCAGAAGAGGGCUGUUUGAGUCAUAAGUGGAAGUGCAUACAGAGAUCACACGAGCCCAAUAUUUAUACUGUUAAACUUAUUGAAACUUCAUGAAUGGACAGAGCACUCUAUAUGAUGAAUAUUUUAAAAUCUAUGUACAAAGUGCAUAAGCUUUUACCAACAAAUAUUUAAAACAUAUUUGUAAAGAGAGAAAGCAAAACAAAUAUGAUGAUGAUUAAGUAAAAAUGGCAUUAAAUUGA